rnacentral:tRNA from 1 species
GGUAAAAUGGCUGAAUUGUAGGCGGUAAACUGUAAAUUUAUUUAUGAGAAAUUUUCUCUUUUACCA